rfam:Salmo salar isolate Sally breed double haploid chromosome ssa01, whole genome shotgun sequence.
AAUGCACCAAUUUGUAAGUCGCUCUGGAUAAGAGCGUCUGCUAAAUGUCUUAAG